CUAGGUCCUAAAGAUCAUUCAUUUACAUCUUCAAGUCAGCUGGUGGAAUAUAAUGGCUACAGACUGUGAAGCCAGAGUACCUAAGCUCUAACUCUGGUUUUACUAAUUCCAGGUUAUAAUGAUGAAGAGUGCUCAUGUCUUCUCCACUCCUGUAUUCUCUUAUUUACCGCCUGGAAAAGUCCUUGCACUGCCAUGCUUUCAUGCUGUUUUCUCAGACAUUUCUCUAUCUAUAAUGGGAAUACAACUCUAAGAGCCAGAAUGAAGUUACCAGUUUUUCCUACCUCAUGGGAUUAUUGGAAGGAUUGAAUGGGAGAAUAUUAUAAAGUAUCUGCACAAUUCUUGGUACAUGUAAAGCUAGUCAAUAAUAUAAGUAAAACUCUAGUCUUCAAUGUUUAGGAUUUAGUGGUUAGGAUAAAAAGUGAUCUAUAUUUUUCCAAGCAAACUUAGAGAACAGAUAAUGAAUCAAAAAAUUCAACAGGAUGAAAAUAGGCAGAACUGCCUGACUUGCUCAUAAUUUUUUGUAAAAUGUCAAUUAUAAUGAAACUUCUGUGAGCAAGAUAUUUUUCUAUUUCUUGAUGGAUCUU